AGGAGCCGGAUGAGGUGAAAGUCUCAAGUCCGGUUUUGAAGACCAGCCUUAGUGGUGACGUUGAGGCUGAGUUUAAC
rnacentral:ncRNA from 1 species